rnacentral:rRNA from 1 species
CCUGUAGAUGCCUAACACAUGCACCUGACAGGCUUCGGCCUUAGUGGCCCGUAGACAACUUGAGUACCACGUGGGAACCCCAGUGACACCAGAUAGAAACGUUCGGAAUCCAGUGAGAGACCGGAUACGCCCUUCCGUAGGACCGUCCGAUGACCAGUAGAGGGCCCCCAUGAGGACCAGUAGAGCCGAUGACCUUCGAGGCCGUAGUAACAAUCCGUAGCUGGUCUGAGAGGAUCCGUUACCGAUACACUGGGCCGUGACGGCCCAAACUCCUACGGGAGGCCAGUGAGAGACAAUGGGCGCAAGCCUGAUCCAGUGAGAUGAGAUGAAACCGUUGAGUGAUGAAGGCCUUAGGGUUGUAAAGCUCUUUCGCACGCGACGAUGAUGACGGUAGCGUCCGUGACAAAUUUAAUAUAUCCGGUGCCAGCAGCCGCGGUAAUACGAAGUCCGUACCCCGGCUAACUUCAAUUACUGCCAGUAGUAGGCGUAGGCCAGUGACCAGCGGCCUGCCAGUAACCCCGGGCUCAACCUGGGAAUAGCUUUUGAUACUGGCAGGCUUGAGUUCCGGAGAGGAUGGUGGAAUUCCGUGAUGAAGGUGAAAUUCGCCAGUAGUGAAUAACCGUGAUGAAGGCCGUUUUUCGUCUCUGUGUCGCAUCUGGACGGACACUGACGCUGAACACCGGUGGCCAGUGAUGAUACACCCUGGUAGCCGUAGUUCCACGCCGUAAACGAUGAAUGCUAGACGUCGGGGUGAACAGGAUUAGCGCUAACGCAUUAACCGUGACUGGAUUAGAGUACGGCCGCAAGGUUAAAACUUUGCCAGUAGUAGAACGGCCCGCACCAGUGAUGGAGCAUGUGGUUUAAUUCGAACCGUGACAGUAGUAGCCUUACCAACCCCCGAUGAUCACUAUGGACUUGACCGAUGAUACAGUUCGGCCGGGUGGAACACACCAGUGAUAGUAAACUGUCGUCACUUAUUAGUGUCGUGAGAUGUUGGGUUAAGUGCCGCACGAUAGCUCCCAUUAGAUCCUACCGUCAGUUGCCAUCAUUGGCCAUGAGAUGGACCAGUGAUAGUAGAACAAGCCGGAGGAAGGCGGGGAUGACCCAGUAGCCUCAUGGCAUCCAGUGACCCAUGAUCACACGUGCUACAAUGGCGGUGACAGUGGGAAAAAUUUACGUGGGAGCCAAUCCGACUGACGGGUCGUGACUGUCUCAGUUCGGACUGACUAGUCUGCAACUCAAGUGCGAGAAGUUGGAAUCCGGAUCCCAGUGAUACCGUGAAUGCUAGUAAUCGACACACCGCCUGUCCCAGUGACACCAUGGGAGUUGGUUUUACCCGAAGGUGGUGCGCUAACCGCCCAGUGACCAGUAGUCCACGGUAAGGUCAGCGACUGGGGUGAAGUCCCAGUAGAGGU